CGGCGAACGGGUGAGUAACACGUGGGCAACCUACCCAGAAGACCGGGAUAACGGCUCGAAAGGGCCGCUAAUACCGGAUAAUGUCGGGGUACCGCAUGGUACUCCGAAGAAAGGGGAAACCCGCUUUUGGAUGGGCCCGCGUCCCAUCAGCUAGUUGGUGAGGUAACGGCUCACCAAGGCGACGACGGGUAGCCGGUCUGAGAGGAUGGUCGGCCACACUGGAACUGAGACACGGCCCAGACUCCUACGGGAGGCAGCAGUUGGGAAUCUUGGGCAAUGGGCGAAAGCCUGACCCAGCGACGCCGCGUGAGGGAAGAAGGCCUUCGGGUCGUAAACCUCUGUCAUGGGGGAAGAAGCAAGUGACGGUACCCCAAGAGGAAGCCCCUGCUAACUACGUGCCAGCAGCCGCGGUAAUACGUAGGGGGCGAGCGUUGUCCGGAUUUACUGGGCGUA
rnacentral:rRNA from 1 species